rnacentral:rRNA from 1 species
UACGAAGGGGGCUAGCGUUGUUCGGAAUUACUGGGCGUAAAGCGUGCGCAGGCGGCUUCUCAAGUCAGGGGUGAAAGCCCAGAGCUCAACUCUGGAAUUGCCUUUGAGACUGAGUGGCUUGAGUACGAGAGAGGUGAGUGGAAUUCCCAGUGUAGAGGUGAAAUUCGUAGAUAUUGGGAAGAACACCGGUGGCGAAGGCGGCUCACUGGCUCGUAACUGACGCUCAUAC